GCAUCUAUAUCUUCAGCCACAUUUAAAGCAUAAGCAACUAGAUCAGCCUCGGCAUACUUCUUUGGAGGUUUAAUUUCUCUUCUUGUUCUGUUUUUGGCGAUAGAGUAUUGCGGUGAAGAAGCAACUCUAUUCUCAAUUUUUGUACUGGCUUGAGGAGUUGAUUCUGUAUUAAUCUGAUGCUCCACCUGCUUUUGGUUUUCUUUAUUGGAAGAGUCUUUAAGAGAUAAGUUAGGUAGCAUAGCAGUUUCAUCAAAAACAACAUCUCUGCUAAUCACAACUUUUCUAUUUUCAGGACACCAUAACUUAUAGCCUUUUACACCAGC
rnacentral:lncRNA from 1 species